UUGUUGUUUAUUAACAAUAUUUGCAACAUUUUUUUAGGUUAAAAGUUAAACAACGAGAUGUGAUGACAUGGUUGCAUUAAAUGUAUAUGAAUAGGAUCUUAGCAUGUUUUAUGAUGAUGUUGGUCUUAAACUCAGAGAAGAACGUAUUUAAUAUAUUCACAUUCAAGGAAGGGUUUGAAUAUUGUUGGUGAUCGCCUUACGGAAAUUAUCAUGGAAGAAUACAGAAAGUUUGAAAUAUUGAUACUACUGACAAAUUUCUGCCGAUGAAAAAACCACGCCAAUGUGUUCAUUAUCAAAAUUGAAUAAUCAUGACUCCAGCUAUAAUUAUCUAUUUUAUAUCAUAAUUUAUUUGUAUACUUGUUUUCUAUGUAAAAGAUUAAUCCAUAUAAAAAAACUUAAAACUGAAAAUAAA